AUACGGAGGAUGCGAGCGUUAUCCGGAUUUAUUGGGUUUAAAGGGAGCGUAGGCGGGAGCUUAAGUCAGCGGUUAAAUGGUGCGGCUCAACCGUGCCCUGCCGUUGAAACUGGGUUUCUUGAGAGUGCAAGAGGCGGAUGGAAUUCAUGGUGUAGCGGUGAAAUGCUUAGAUAUCAUGAAGAACUCCGAUUGCGAAGGCAGUCCGCUGGGGCACGUCUGACGCUGAUGCUCGAAGGUGCGGGAAUCAAACAGGAUUAGAUACCCUGGUAGGCCGCACGGUAAACGAUGAUUACCCGCUGUCGGCGGCAGACAGUCGGCGGCCAAGCGAAAGCGAUAAGUAAUCCACCUGGGGAGUACGCCGGCAACGGUGAAACUCAAAGGAAUUGACGGGG
rnacentral:rRNA from 1 species